AAAAUCCGCUGUACAAUCCGAAGACGUGAUGCGGACCGAAUUAAGAGUAGGGAAGUGUGUGAGCCAUGCGUCAAGAAAAGCCGCUAUUGUUUUACUUAAGCCCGUACCGUAAACCGACACAGGUGGAUGAGGAGAGAAUCCUAAGGCCGACGGGAGAAGCAUUGUUAAGGAACUCGGCAAAAUGACUCCGUAACUUCGGGAGAAGGAGUGCCAGCGAGAGCUGGCCGCAGAGAAUUGGCCCAAGCAACUGUUUAGCAAAAACACAGGUCUAUGCAAAACCGUAAGGUGAAGUAUAUGGGCUGACGCCUGCCCGGUGCUGGAAGGUUAAGAGGAGAGGUUAGCGGCAACGCGAAGCUUUGAAUUUAAGCCCCAGUAAACGGCGGCCGUAACAAUAACGGUCCUAAGGUAGCGAAAUUCCUUGUCGGGUAAGUUCCGACCCGCACGAAAGGCGUAAUGAUUUGGGCACUGUCUCAACAAUACACCCGGUGAAAUUGAAAUACCAGUGAAGAUGCUGGUUACCUGCGCCAGGACGGAAAGACCCCAUGGAGCUUUACUCCAGCUUGAUACUGGGAUUCGGUAUUGCAUGUACAGGAUAGGUGGGAGGCUAGGAAGUGAUAACGCCAGUUGUCACGGAGCCGCUGUUGGGAUACCACCCUUGCAGUAUUGGAUUUCUAACCAGCGACCAUGAACUGGUCGGGGGACAAUGUCAGGUGGGGAGUUUGACUGGGGCGGUCGCCUCCGAAAGGGUAUCGGAGGCGCUCAAAGGUUCCCUCAGAAUGGACGGAAACCAUUCGAAGAGUGCAAAGGCAGAAGGGAGCUUGACUGCGACACCGACGGGUGGAGCAGGUACGAAAGUAGGACUUAGUGAUCCGGUGGUAUAAAGUGGGAUUGCCAUCGCUCAACGGAUAAAAGCUACCCUGGGAUAACAGGCUUAUCACUCCCAAGAGUUCACAUCGACGGAGUGGUUUGGCACCUCGAUGUCGGCUCAUCGCAUCCUGGGGCUGAAGUAGGUCCCAAGGGUUGGGCUGUUCGCCCAUUAAAGCGGUACGCGAGCUGGGUUCAGAACGUCGUGAGACAGUUCGGUCCCUAUCCGGCGUGGGCGUAGGAUAUUUGAGAGGAGCUGUCCUUAGUACGAGAGGACCGGGAUGGACUGGCCGCUGGUGUAUCUGUUGCAUACCAAAUGCAUGGCAGAGUAGCCAAGCCGGGACGGGAUAAACGCUGAAGGCAUCUAAGCGUGAAGUCCCCCUCAAGAUGAGAUAUCCCUACGUAAGUAGUAAGACCCCUUGAAGACGACGAGGUAGAUAGGUCAGAGGUGGAAGUACAGUAAUGUAUGGAGCUGACUGAUACUAAUCGGUCGAGGGCAUGACC
rnacentral:rRNA from 1 species